GACGAACUGCGCAAACGUUAUUCGGAAUCACUGGGCUUAAAGAGUUCGUAGGCGGCGUGGAAGGUCGGGUGUGAAAUCCCUCGGCUCAACCGAGGAACUGCGCCCGAAACCACUAUGCUUGAGGGAGACAGGGGUGAGCGGAACUAAUGGUGGAGCGGUGAAAUGCACUGAUAUCAUUAGGAACACCGGUGGCGAAAGCG
rnacentral:rRNA from 1 species